rnacentral:rRNA from 1 species
CCCUUAGAUGUCCUGGGCCGCACGCGCGCUACACUGAUGCAUUCAACGAGCCUAUCCUUGCCCGACAGGUCCGGGUAAUCUUUGAAUCUGCAUCGUGACGGGGAUAGAUUAUUGCAAUUAUUAAUCUUCAACGAGGAAUGCCUAGUAGGCGCAAGUCAUCAGCUUGCGUCGAUUACGUCCCUGCCCUUUGUACACACCGCCCGUCGCUCCUACCGAUUGGGUGUGCUGGUGAAAUGUUCGGAUCGGCCGUUUGUCGCGGUUUCCGCGUCAUGUGGCUGAGAAGUUCAUUAAACCCUCCCACCUAGAGGAAGGAGAAGUCGUAACA